CGGCAGCCCCUUCGAGUGGCUGAGCUGGCCUUUCUUGGGAGGGACCUUUCUUCUGGAAGUUCCGCGAAUUUGUUGCUGUUAGGGCGGUGUUUCCGACGGAUCGAGUAAACUCCCAACUGCUGGGAAUACCAAAAAAAAUCACAACUAUGGAAACUUUGAGGAACUAUGAGGAAGAGGAAACUUUUUCUUUGAACAAAGAUCGCCAAGUGGUCAGCUGGGACUUCAGCUUCAGGUCAGAUGGAGUAACAAGGACGGGAUUUUUCCUCCAGCAUGAAACAACAACAAAAAUAUCGAAUCAAGGUGCUAGGCAUCAGACAACCAAAGAGAGUGAUCCCUGAGAAAUGGAAAACAGAUGAGAAAGCUCCAGAAUACAUCAGAGGAAUUGAGAGGAGGAGGAAACAUCCUGUUCUUCUACCCAACCACAUCAGAUUAAGCACUGACCAUAAGCUUUAAAAAAAAAAAGGCUGUAUGUCAGGGGUGCAGGACACCAAGAAGAGCAUGAUGAUGUCCACUGUCCAUUAUCCCUAAUGUCCCAUCUUUGGUUCCAAUGCAUGACACUCUCAAGAUGCAGUCCUCUGCCUCACAAUGGAUGUGGCUGGUGAUUGCUGGUGGUGAUGGUCCCGACUCCUCUUGGACCUUGGAUCUGUU
rnacentral:lncRNA from 1 species